rnacentral:rRNA from 1 species
UACAGAGGUGGCAAGCGUUGUUCGGAAUUACUGGGCGUAAAGGGCGCGUAGGCGGCCUGCUAAGUCAGACGUGAAAUCCCCCGGCUUAACCUGGGAACUGCGUCUGAUACUGGAAGGCUUGAGGAUGGGAGAGGGAUGUAGAAUUCCAGGUGUAGCGGUGAAAUGCGUAGAUAUCUGGAGGAAUACCGGUGGCGAAGGCGGCAUCCUGGACCAUUACUGACGCUGAGGCGCGAAAGCUAGGGGAGCAAACGGG